GAUAAACGCUGGCGGCGUGCCUAACACAUGCAAGUCGAACGCCCUCGGGCAACCGAGGGAGUGGCGGACGGGUGGGGAACACGUGGGUACCUACCCUUCAGUGAGGAAUACCGGCGAGAAAUCGCCGACAAUACCGCAUACGUUUCGCAAGAAAGAAAGCUCGCAAGAGCGCUGAGGGAUGGGCUUGCGCCCGAUUAGCUAGUUGGUGAGGUAAAGGCUUACCAAGGCUGCGAUCGGUAGCUGGUCUGAGAGGAUGAUCAGCCACACUGGGAUUGAGAACGGCCCAGACUCCUACGGGGGGCAGCAGUGAGGAAUUUUCGUCAAUGGGGGCAACCCUGAACGAGCAACGCCGCGUGCAGGAAGAAGGUUUUCGGAUCGUAAACUGCUUUUCUCUGGGACGAGCAAGGACGGUACCAGAGGAAUCAGCCUCGGCUAACUACGUGCCAGCCGCCGCCGUAAGAC
rnacentral:rRNA from 1 species